rnacentral:misc_RNA from 1 species
GUGUGUGUGCGCGCGCGCGCGCGUAUAGAUAGAUAGAUAGAUUUAGCUAUGGCAGAAUAGCUUCACAAUAAAGGGUGCAUAAAUAAAAAUAAGAAACUCUCUCUUCGUCAAUCUCGUUAGAUGCUAUUAAUUAGUUCUAAUAGUUUCUUUCCCCGUAAGUUUAAGAGGAGUAAUGAAAAUUACUCUUUCUGCUAGACUGUGGCUAU